CAGCCGCCGCGGUAAAACGUAGGGUGCAAGCGUUAAUCGGAAUUACUGGGCGUAAAGCGUGCGCAGGCGGUUAUGUAAGACAGUUGUGAAAUCCCCGGGCUCAACCUGGGAACUGCAUCUGUGACUGCAUAGCUAGAGUACGGUAGAGGGGGAUGGAAUUCCGCGUGUAGCAGUGAAAUGCGUAGAUAUGCGGAGGAACACCGAUGGCGAAGGCAAUCCCCUGGACCUGUACUGACGCUCAUGCACGAAAGCGUGGGGAGCAAACAGGAUUAGAUACCCGCGUAGUCCCUGUCUCUUAUAC
rnacentral:rRNA from 1 species